UCCCUCCUGGGUGUUUCUUUGGCCCACCUUUCCUUCUCCUCUGAGACUUCGUUUUCUUGUUGGUAGAUGGGGGCUGAUACUGUAAACAUCACAAAAAUAAUUGCAUUGAGAACAGAUGGUUCCCUCGGUGUCUCGGAAGACAGAGCCUUUGAGUCAGCCCAGAAUCCCGGGCUCCAUAGGAGGCAGGAGACAGCAUUGGUGCUGGAGAGGUGUCUAGACCUCACUUACAAGACCCAACAUUCCAGAACUGUGGGAGUCGUCUCUGAUCUCCCAACAUUUCAGAACUUUAGGACUCAUCUCUGAUCCCCCAACACUCCAGAACUCUGUGACUCAUCUCUGACCCCACCCCCUCCCCAACUAGAAAUCGAGAGGUACUGGGUCACCCGAGAAGAGAAAGAAUUAACCUGCCUUUGCCCCCUCAAGCACACCUUCCAGCCACAUUCACCUAAAAGUUACUUCUGUGGUGCUUCCUCCCUGACUCACCCACUGGCUACUGGGUCCUUUGUGCACCAGCUUGUGUUCAGUCCCUUUUCAUCACUCAGGGUGGCUCUCUGGGGUCACAUCUCUGCUAAGCGCCCUGGUCCUCCUCCAGUCUCAGCUGCAGUUUAGGACCAGGGAGCAGCAAGGAUAUCAUGUUGUUCUUGGUCUUUCAUCUUGUGCUGUCUGCACAAUGCUCAUUUUGGAUUCAAAGAUUAAAACCACAGAUCGCCCAGAGAAGUGGAAGGGAGAAUCUGCAACGUGGAGUAACCAAGGGGAUGGACAUCUAAGGUUCUGGAGCAACUUGCCUGCUACCGAAAGAAGACACCAACCUUUAUCUUGGGAUGGCAGAAAAUAAGGAUCUUUCCAAGUGGGAUUGACCUUUGGCAUCUGUAAAAGUGAACACUGAGAAAAUGUCCUCUUUUCUAUGAACUGCAUGUCAUAAACUUUUCUUGAAAACCUAUCAAAUUUAGGCAUUGAUUUCACUUUGGCCUGUGUUAAUUUUUAAUUGCCAGUGUUUGCUGGUCCCACUACUUCUCAAUUGGACGAGGUCAUCUUUUCUAGGAAUCAUGGCCCAAUUUGACCUGCCACUACCCCCACUACUCAGCAACUCUUUCUCAGCUACUAAAUCCCCACAGCCCAAAAGACCAAAGUCUUCCUGUUACCCAAUCAAGUCAAUGUUUGUGAAUCUCUGGGUCUAAAAGGAAUGAAGCAGAGUUCUAUAAAGCUGCCCCUUUCUUCAAACCCUCCUUUCUUUUGGAAGCCUCAACUCAAGGGCAGGUGUGAAAAUAGUGCUGUUCCAUCUGCUUCUGUCUCCAAGGCCAGAGAGCUAAAGCACAAGGCCUAGGGGCAAGAAAACUAGAGAUUCAGAGCAGAAACAUUACUGUUUUAGGACUCUUUGGAGAUACGGGCUGACAGAGUGGGAAGCAGUGUGAUGUAUUACUUUAGCCUGAUACAAUGCCCUGGAGGACGAGCGUCUUGCCAGGACAGCACAAUUUACUAGCUUAGGUCUGAUUCCAGGGCUUGGGGGAGAUAGAUGUAGCCAACAAAAUUAUACUUUGGCAAGAGAAAUGCUUUGCUGGACAGAAAUGUUGUCCUAAGGGAAUAGUUUGGUUUAUCAACGUCUAAGGUAAAAGAUAAUCAAAUGCCAAGAGGUCAUUUUUAUGUUUGAAUUAUUUCAGUUGUGCCUGCUAUAUAACUUAGCUACCAUUUUCUAGUUAUAUAGUUUCAAUUAUUUAGAACAUAUUACAGGGUUUGAGUAUGAUCUGCCUGUGACAUCUGUCAUACCAGUGAAGGAGGCAAUAUAUGGAGUGGUUAAAAGCACAGGUUUUAGAGUCAGACAGACUUGGAAUCACUGUUCACCUUGGGCAAGGUACCAGAUCGUCUAAGAGUCAGAUCCUCUUAUGUAAAAUGGACAUAUAUAAAAGAGUAUCUUCCAGGACUGCUGUGAAGAUUAAGUGAGAAUGUACAUAAAGUGUUUAGCACAAUGUCUGGUAUGCAAUAAACUCUAAAUAAAUGUUAGUUAUUAUAAUCAUUAUUAUUUGGAGUGGAGUUGGCUAACAUAGCUGGGCAGGUAUCCUCUUCCUUUCUUCCUCUUAAAAAAUGCAUCCUUUCCAAAGUUUGGUUGAAAAAGAUGGCCUUUCUAGAUAAAGAAGGACUGUUCUCCAUUAAAAUAAAUGAGUAACUGUUCCUCUGAAAGGAUAUCCAAAUGUUAUGUUUUAUAGACUGUCUUGAAUAGUUUAAAUCUAGAAUAGACCCUCUGUGAAAAUGGAUCCUUCAAUCAAGUAAAACAAGGCAAAGUCAUAUGGGCUUAUCUUGACCUUUCGUUACCUUUGAUUUCUCCCAAAUAACCCACUAGCUAAAAUAAUUGGUUUUUCACUGAUAGUAUCUAUCCACUUACUUCAAAACAAUGCUGCAAGGCAUGGGAUGGGUAUGGGCAACAUACAUGGUCAGAAGUGGUUUCCCAAUUGCUUUCAACCACUGUAUGUAUUUCUCUCCUCUCUCUCUACUUCAUGCCUUGCUUCUUUUCCCCUCCCUCUACAUCUUCCACUCUUCUGCUAUUGACAGCCAUUGACAUUCAUUUUACUCACUAAUGAGCUUUAGGGCAAAGCUCAUGCUAUGAGAGUUCAUGGUAGGCUAGGAAUUAAGAGUCUUAUUCCUUCCCUGAAAUAACUGAAAACUAGGGUUCGCUCUCCUGCCAACCACACUUUGAAAAUAACCAGCCAUCAAGUAUACAGUGUCAGCAGGCCCGCUUAAUCACUACUCCAUCUUGGACCCAAGCCUGAGUGAGAUGAAAACAGACAAGAGAAAAAAUAAGAAGGGUGUUUAUGUUGAGGAAUCGCGUAUGUGGACCUUAGUUAUCUCAUUUUUUUGAGAAAGACUGUGAUGGAAAUUGUAAGGUGAGUCUGGCUCCAACCUGGAGAUUGUAGCCAUGCCACCAGCAUUAUCUCCUAGACUUACACUGUUAUUGUUAGCUUACCCUUUCAGAUGUGGGAAGAGAGGCCUUGUAGGCAAAACAUAAGGCACUCAUGAAUAGAGAGUAAUGCCCCUCUUUCGGGUGCCACAGAAAGAUGAAUCAGCUAAGGGGUAUUAAAACACAUUCUCUUUAUUUUUAGUUUCACUCUAAAGUCUAUCAUUUCUCUUUUCUUUGCAACUUGGCACCUGCCCUGUGUUCUCAGGGGCCCUGCUCCCUGUCAGUCUCCUUACUCAGGCCUCUGUGUUUUGCUCAGAGCACAUCUGGAGAUUUUCCCAGGGGUGGGUGUGACACGGUCAGGAUGGCAGGUGAAGCGGUGAUGGCUGCCAGGGCAGUCUGGCAUGUCUGAAGGGAGAGUGUUGGGAGGUGGAGGCCCCGUAAGGAGAGGCAUCUGGGCCUGCAUCAGGGAGUGAACUGUUGGAAGGCAGCCUCCACAGCAGCAGAGACAGCCCUUGGCACUAUCGCAGAGAAGGAACAGCCAGAGUCAGCGACAGAUUGAACACAGGGAGGGGAGGAGGUGGGGGGGAGGGGGAAGGUGGCUAGGGUCUUACAUGAUAUAAAUAACUGCAUGGUGUGCACUUCAGUGGCAGUUGGGUUGUGUGUGAUGUCCCUUUCACGCUGGUGUGCCAACAGUGUUGUUCUUGAA